AAUUUCUUAUUAUUUCCUUAAUAAUAUAUUAAUCCAGCUGCAAGUUAGCUGACAAAGGAGAGGCAUAAAAUGUACCAAAUCUUUAUUAAGUUAUUAAAUAAGUAGUACGUACAGAUUUGUCAAAAAGAGCAGAAGUUUAUUUGAUGCACUAGUUAUAAUCGAUUUCACCAGCAAGUGGAAUAAUUCGGACAGAGACGGACGUUUGUGGUCAGCCCUAGUUGUUUAUGCAGUGGUGCGGCUGAAUGUGAUCCUUACAGAAGGACCAGAUGCGCGCGAUAGACGCGAUAUUCUAAUUGUAAAUACUAACGACUAUCAU